rnacentral:snRNA from 1 species
AGCUACACUGGCUGCAACAUCUGUCACCCCACUCACUGAUCACCAGGGUUGUUUUGGCUGAUCUGGCUGGCUAGGCAGGUGUCCCCUUCCUCCCAAAGCUGUGUGAUCCUUGAAGAAGACAGCUUUCCUGGAGUAGAGAUGGCCUUCAGUCAAAGGUACGGGAGUAGCUGCACUCCCCUGCUAGAAUGUCCAAACAAGCUCUCAAGAAAUAGCUACUGAGGGACAGGCAGUGGCACACUUGGUUGAGUGCACAUGU